GACGAACGCUGGCGGCGUGCCUAAUACAUGCAAGUCGAGCGGACGAAUCGAAAGCUUGCCUUUGAUUCGUUAGCGGCGGACGGGUGAGUAACACGUGGGCAACCUGCCCUGUAGACUGGGAUAACACCGAGAAAUCGGUGCUAAUACCGGAUAACACGAAAUGUCGCAUGACGUUUCGUUGAAAGACGGCGCAAGCUGCCGCUACAGGAUGGGCCCGCGGCGCAUUAGCUAGUUGGUGAGGUAACGGCUCACCAAGGCGACGAUACGUAGCCGACCUGAGAGGGUGAUCGGCCACACUGGGACUGAGACACGGCCCAGACUCCUACGGGAGGCAGCAGUAGGGAAUCUUCCGCAAUGGACGAAAGUCUGACGGAGCAACGCCGCGUGAGCGAAGAAGGCCUUCGGGUCGUAAAGCUCUGUUGUUAGGGAAGAACAAGUAACGCAGUAACUGGCGUUACCGUGACGGUACCUAACGAGAAAGCCACGGCUAACUACGUG
rnacentral:rRNA from 1 species